rnacentral:tRNA from 1 species
GGGAUACUGGCAUAACGGAAAUGCAUCCCCCUUGAAAAGAGCAUUGAAACCAGUGCUUUUUUCAAGGGGAAGAUCGAGGUUCGAAUCCUUGGUAUCCCUCCA